UGGGGGCUCGUCUAGCGGUAGGACAGCGGACUCUGGAUCCGUACGGCGAGGUUCGAAUCCUCGGCCCCCAGCCU
rnacentral:tRNA from 1 species